rnacentral:lncRNA from 1 species
AUUGUCGCCAAAAUGAACCAAGGAUUGAGUUCAGGGAAGGUCAAAAAUGGCGACAAAUUGAAAGUUUAUCUCAAAGAAGACCUUCCUGCAAGGCUGCACUAUUGGGAAAGUGAUAGGAUCCCUCCGAUUAUUGGGUUAGUCGAUGAAGGGUUUAAGGUUGAGCAAAAGGACUCGAAGAGUAAGGAAUGUGGAGGUGCACAUGGAUAUGAUAAUGCAUUUUUUUCGAUGAGAACGAUUUUUAUUGGUCAUGGUCCUCAAUUUGCUAGAGGUAGAAAGGUACCAUCUUUUGAGAAUGUUCAAAUAUAUAAUUUAAUUACUUCGAUUCUCAACAUACAUGGAGCUUCCAACAAUGGGUCUUUAUCUUUUGCAAAGAGUGUGCUUUUGCCUCAUCAUUGACUCAAGUUUGAGUGUUGAAAUCUGUGCAUGUUUUAGGGCAAUGCUGUUUAAUUGUUGUAGAUGUAAAGUUAAUAAUGGUGCUUAUAGCUUAAGAUGCAUUGGUUCAUUGGUUGAAUGUAACUUCUGAGUGUUUGAAUCUUGUUUGCAUCUAGAAAGGGUGGCAAUCUUAUAGUGUUAGGUUGGCGAGUUGACACUCAAAAAACUCAACCUAGACACCAACCAUAUAAUUAUUCGUGUCAUGUUUUUCAACACUAACUCGCAUUCGACUUGCCUAAUCCGUUUAAUUAUAUGAGUUUACAUGUUUGUGUAUCAUAUUUGGGUUCAUAUGUCAUACUUGAUUUACCAAUUUAUUGAUUUACUUUUACCGAUUUGAUUUAUUUGAUAAAUGUGCUGUUUAUUGUGUUUAAUCUAAGAUAAUAAAUGGUUUGGCGUGUUAACUUGCAAGUCUUUUCCCCACCCAAACAAGAUCCUUAUAAUAAACGGGUUAUAUGGGCCAACUCAUUAUGACCCGGAGCCGUUUAAAGUCAACCCAAAAGUGUCGUCUGUGAGAAUUGCUACCCUUACAUAUAGACCAGGGGCGGACCUUAGUGGAGCCCGGGCUACUGCUCAAUUUCCGACACGUAGUGUAAUUUUUUUUUACUAUUAGGUGCACGGCUUGAAGUACGAGUGACACCCUUAUUAAAACAUUCUGCAUCCGCCACUGAUAUAGAGAAAGAUUAAAGUUCCCAAAACCAAUACUAAAAAUGAUACGCAAAGCAGACAAAACCAAUAAAAAAAUGAUACAAAACUAAUGAGACUUGUUUGAAAGUAAUUUCUUAGCGUUAUACCAAAGACUUUUAAUACCAAUUAUAGUUGCAUGGGAAAGAUGUAAAAUAUGAUAAUUAAUGAAAAUAACAUUAUUUAAAAACGACUUUUAUGAUGCAAUUUAUGAUCUAUGAAUUUAUUUAGAUUGUUGUUAAGAUGUCAAACCGUCAAAGAAUAGUGUAAGACUGGGUUUUGGGGGUACACAAAGACUAAAGAGUUAUAACUUUUUUUAUUAUAUAAUUAUUUCUAUUAAAUAUUUAAUUAACAUUUCAUUUAUAAAAUAUAAAUUUAUAACAAUAAUAUAAUAUUUUCAGUAUUUUUAUCUUAUUUCAAUAUUUUUUUACAGUUCUUUUUCAUACUCAACUUUUUCCUAAGGGUUCUUCUUGACAAAUGAGUUCCAAGGUUUUUUUUCCGGUUUUUGAUGAAUAACCUGAAUUCAAUUAUAUAUUUCUUGACAAAACAAAUGUGUCACGAAGUCUGAUAGCCUCUGGUCCUUUUGCUUAAAAAAUACAAUUAUAAUUAAAAAAAAGUCUAAAAAAGUGUUAAAACUCCAAAAAUACCUCAUUAGUUGUUUAAUAACAUCAUUUUUUAAUUCAAAAAGUCCUGCUUUCAUGUAUUAACCGUUGAUAAAUGCAGGGAUUGCGUUAUGACGAAAAUCACUUUAAACUUUUAUCAAUCUCUGUCAUCAACUUCACACAAGAUAUUGUUUAUAAUUUAGGCUAUUUUUCGCACCAAACAAAUGAUGAGGGGCUCUCAUUAGGAAGAUAUAAAUACCAAGCAGUCAAAAUAUUGUCAAAAUGACGCGAUAUAAGUAAUUUAUUAUGUUGUUUCCUAAACAAAUUAUUCCUGAUGUAUGUCCAUUCUUACAUUUGCUAUAUUUUUAGCAUAUGCACGAUCCCUUUACUAAACCACCAGAAAAGAAGCAAUGUUGGAUAAUAUAGAUGUAAUCUUGCAAGUUGGCAAGUUUCCUCUAUACCACAUUGGCGGGGGGAAGAAAUAUUGUGUAGGUUUAUAAGUCUUUUCCCUUGAUAGGCCUUCAAGGGCUUUAGUGGAUCAAAGGAAUAAGCCAACCCACACAUGCACGCCUAGGGGUGUCAAUUUAUGACACGACACGAUAAAAAUACACGACACGAAACGAAAUUGGGACGAAAUCAAAAUUCGUUUUCGUGUCGUGUUCGUGUCAAAUAUAAAAAACACGAUGUCGUGUCGUGUCGUGUUCGUGUUUACAAAUUGACACGAUUGAGCAUGUGUUUGUCGUGUUUUUCGUGUUUUUCGUUUUUAUCGUGUUAUAGAUGAUUAAAUAUGAAUUAAAUAAAAUAAUAGUUAUAUAAUAUUAUCUUUGUCGUGUCGUGUCGUGUUGUCGUUUUUUAAUUGGUUCGUUUUCGUGUUAGUGAAAUAAAACACGACAUUGUGUCGUGUCGUGUUCGUGUUACAAAAAACAUUGUCGUGUCGUGUCGUGUCAGACAAAAACACGACACGAUGGCACGAUUUGACAGGCCUAUGCACGCCUAGCCUAGCCUAGCACUAGCCGAUGUCACGAGUGCGAGAAAUGGCACGAUUUAGGCGCACGACGCAUCGGUUGCUUGGAGCUGAGGAUUUUUAUUUUUGGCAAAGUUCGAGUCAAGUCAGUUUGACCAAUCUAGUCAAACGGUUGACUUCGUAUACAUGGCAACAUAAUACUCUGGAAGGGUUAGAAAAUGACUAGCUUGGAGAGCAAGUCGUCGCACUAGUGUUUCCAGGGGCCGACUCAUGUGGGCCCCUUUUCUGCCUUCUAGGGUUUCGAUGCCUAUAAAUACAGCUAGGAGCCGUAUUUGAGACUCACGGAUUUUGAAGCGCUCUCUCUCUCUCUUUCUGCGAUUUCUUAUAGUUUCUCAGUAUUCACUUUGCGUUUACCGUUUUCCAUUGCUGUUGGAAACUCGAUAAAUCCACAUUAAAUCCUGAGGUUUUACUCUGUUACUUACAACCAAUAGAAGCGAAGUAAAAACCUUUAAGGACAAGAGUCUAAUUCGUGUAGUUAUUCAACGUUCAAGAUCAGUUGUUAACAGGUUGGUUUUAUAUUAUUGUCUUGUUUUUAAUUUCGUCCAAUAACAGGACACUCUCCUUCUACCUUUCUUAUAAUCAAAUCUAAUCGAGAAUGAUUAAUCUGGUUUCUGGACGAAACUUGGUAAUCAUAUUAAUAAUAAUUGGAUCUAUUAUUCGCAACUAAUCAACAUAUAAUUCUCAAUAUUAUUUGUCGGUUUCCUUGCGUGUCUAUUGGUUCUGAUUUACAACAAUCUUAAAGAUUUUUUUUUUUAAUUUGUGUUCAUAAAUCAAUAGACUAAUGAACACCUAAAUCCCAACUGCUAGUCUCCACUACAUGAACCAGGAGUUUGCCAAGCUUGAACGAUUCAAUGGUCAGCACUACACCCAUUUGGCUGACAAUGUCAAGUUCGUGCUUCAUGUGUUGAAGCUCGCCUAUGUUUUGGACCCAAAAUUGGCCCCAAUUCCCGAUGAUCCAUUUCCCGAGACGGGGAAAAAUGUGGAUCCAACGAUCAUAUCUGAUCUGGAAAAGUAAAGGCUCUGCGUAGAGAGUCUCAGGAAUUGUAUGUGGGUCGCAUCAAGAACUCACUGUCUGAUCGACUCUAUGAUAUUUACGUGCCAGUCAAAGAUCUGAGAGAGCUAUGGAGUACUUUGGAACUCAAGUACAAGUCACAUGAGGAAGGUACCAACAAGUACCUAGUGUCAAAGUACCUCGAGUUUCAAAUGGCUGAUGAUAAACCUAUCAUGGAACAAGUGCAUGAACUCUAGGUCAUGGUCAAUAAGUUGAACGUGCUCUCCAUCUCGAUACCAGAACUCUUUCAGGUUGGUGCAAUCAUCGCAAAACUUCCACCAUCGCGGAAAGACUUCUCUAAGAGAAUGAUACACAAAUACGAGGACUACUCCUUGGAUGAUUUGAAGAAAUACCGUCGUAUUAAGGAGGAUACUUGCAUCAGGGACAAACGUGUUAAAGUCGGAUCGAGUGUGAACCAUGUAUCAGUUGGGGGUUCUGGUCAUAAGACCAAGUUUGGGGGACAAAACAAAAGAAACUUGGGACCCAAGAAACAAAGCUUCAAGAAACUAAGUCAUUAGAAUCCUAACUCAUAUAUGUAGAGGGCAGGACCUUGCCACAUUUGCGGAGAGCUUAUGCACUAUGCGAUAGAAUGCAAAGAUCACAAAUUAGGACCGGUUUCACAUGCAGUCGAUCAAAUGACUGAUAUGGUGGCAAGUGUGAACCUUGGAGAGAUUUUCAUGAUCACUUCUCUUACCCGAGCAAUAUGUGCUCGAGGAUGGUCCGUAGAGACUGGAUCCAUUAUGUAUGUUUGUGGGCAACGAGAGAGAUUCCACACUUAUCAUCUAAUGCCACCAGGAACGAUAGUUGUCUGUGUUGAUGGUCACAUAGCUGAAGUUCAAGGAAGAGGCGAUGUUCGUCAGAAGUUCACAUGUGGUGAAUAGGUUACCCUUUGAGAUGUUCUUCAUGUUCCAACGAUCUGGAAGGGGUUGGUUUCUGCGGACAAGUUUGACAAAGGUGGGUUCAAGAUGGAGCUUGAGAAAGGAAGGAUUGUGAUCACUAAGGGCAGAAGAUAUGUUGGGAGGGGGAACAAUUGUUUAAGGAUGUAUUGUUUGUGCCUUGAUGAUGAAGGUAGCACAAGUGGGUAUAGUGUUGAUAGUAAUGGUGAAAGUGUUGCAAGUGUGUCUAGUGUUACUAAUAAUGAUGUAAUUGAUGGAUUGGUUGCUAAUGUGAAUGAAAUGAACUUUUCUUGUUAUUUUGUUUGUUCAAUUUCUUUAUGGCAUAAACGUUCAGCACACACUAAUAUUAAGAAUAUUGAAAAAAAAUUCAAACUAAAGGAAUGUUAAAAUACGACUAAAAAGAUUUUGAAAAAUAUGAAACUUGUGUGAAAUCAAGGUUUACAAAGAAACCAUUUCCAUCAGUUAAGAGAAAUACAUCAUUACUUGAGCUGAUUCAUUCUGAUAUAUUUGUAUUAAAUGGAAUACUUACUCGAGGAGAAAAAAGGUAUUUCAUCACAUUUUGUGAUGACUCCAAUUGAUAUCUACAUGUUUAUUUUCUGAGAUCAAAAGAUGAAGCUUUUUAUGCAUUUAAACUGUAUAAGGCUGAAGUCGAAAAUCUACUUGAAAGACACAUCAAAAUUCUUUGCUCGAACAGAGGCAGAGAAUACUUCAACCAAAAGUUUUGACACAUUCUGUGAAGAGAAUGGAAUCAAACAUGAGAGAACUUCAUCAUAUACUCCCCAACAUAAUGGUUUGGCUGAAAGAAAGAACCGAACCCUUUGUGAGAUGGUUAGCUAUAUGUUGAACCAGUGGCAGAGCCAAAAUUUUUUAUAUGGGGGUACAAACAUUAUCAAUAAAUAUUCUAUGUAGUUAUCAUAUCUGGGGCAUUAAAAAACAUCAUAUUAUCCCUUUAGUUGGGGGUACAACAACAUAAAACAUGUUUAGAAAUAAUUAUUUUAUAUACAUAAAACAAAUUUUUUAGGGAUGCUGUAGUACCCCCAACGCCCCACGUAGCUCCGCCACUGUGUUGAACCAAUCGGGUCAACCAAACAAUCUGUGGGGGGAAGCACUAUUGACUGCUUGUUAUGUUCAUAAUAGGAUCACUAGUCGUGUGAUUCUUACAAGCCCAUAUGAGUUGUGGAAAGCUAGAAAGCCUAACAUAGACUAUUUGAAAGUGUGGGGGUAUGUUGCUUAUUAUCGGACUCCCGAUCCAAAGCGAACCAAAUUGGGAGCACAAGCUAAUAAGAGUAUAUUUAUUGGAUAUGUUGACAAUAGCAAGGCUUACCGAUUAUUAGAUAUUGAAUAAGGUGUUGUCGUGGAUCCAAAGAUGUGGAAUUCUUUGAGGACAAGUUUUCUAGGGAUGAUGAAAACUCUAGUUAUACAACACCUACAAGUACUUCUUGAGAAAUACUCCCACCUCCUCCUAUUGUGGAGGAACCAAGGGGAAGUACUAGGGUUAGAAUAGAGAAAAGUUUUGGAGACGAUUUCUAUUCUUAUUUGGUCAAAGGAACACAAAAGAAAGUGACAAGAGAUGUCAUCUUUUUCCAUUAACUUGGAUGAUGAUCCUAAGACCUUUACUGAAGCCAUGACAUCUAGGGAUGCUCCUUUGUGGAUGGAAGCCAUCAAUGAUGAAAUGGACUCAAUUAUGGGUAAUGGAACUUGGGAGUUAGCUGACCUACCCAAGGGGAGGAGACCCAUAGGAUCCAAAUGGAUAUUCAAGAGAAAAUAUCAUCCAGAUAGAUCCAUAUAUGCCUAUAAAGCAAUAUUAGUUGCUAAAGGCUACAAACAACGAGAAGGGAUCGAUUAUUUUGAUACCUAUGCCCCAGUUGCUAGGAUUAGUUCUAUUAGAACUCUCAUAGCAUAUCAGCAUUGAAUGGACUAUAUACAUUCAUAAAAUGGAUGUGAAGAUAACCUUUCUGAAUGGUUAUCUUAAGGAAGAGAUUUACUUUGAGCAGCCCGAAGAUUUUAUGAUACCCGAAUAGGAAAACAAAGCUUGUAGACUUGUUAAAUCCUUGUACAGGUUGAAGUAAGCUCCCAAAUACUGGCAUGAGAGAUUUGACACCACUGUGACUGCUUUCGGAUUUUAGAACAAUAAUGAUGAAAGAUGUAUUUAUUCCAAAUACACAUCCAAUUACAUAGUAGUACUAUGUCUUUAUGUUGAUGAUAUGUUGAUCAUUGGAACUCACCUAGAAGGUAUUCUUGAGAUGAAGAAAUACAUAUCCUCGAACGUUAAGAUGAAAGAUCUUGGUGAAGUUGAUACAAUUCUUGGUAUCAAGGUGAAAAGGAUAGGCAGUCAGAUUUCUCUAAGUCAAUCUCAUUACAUAGAGAAAAUUCUGACAAAGUUUCAACAUUUGAAUAUUAAGGAAUUCAACACUCCUUUUGAUUUAAGUGUGAAACUUAAUGUGAAUUCUGGAAGAACAGUGGCUCAACUAGAAUAUGCAACUGUAAUUGGGAGCAUGAUUUAUGCUACUCAUUGCACUCGACCUGACAUCGUAUUCGCUAUAAGCAAACUGAGUUAAUAUACUAUCAAUCCAGGGACGAAGCCCUGGAAGGCAGUGGGUAGAGUACUAGGAUACCUGAAAAGGACAAGUACUUUUGAGUUGAUGUAUUCAUCAUCAAAUGGAAUAUUAUAAGGGUAUUCUGAUACUAGUUGGAUAGAUCACACUGGUGACUCGAAAUCCACAAGUGGUUGGAUUUAUACUCUAGCUGGCGGUGCUAUUUCUUGGGCGAGCAAGAAAUAGACAUGCAUAGCUUAUUCAAUGAUGGAUGUAGAGUUAAUUUCCUUAGUAGCAGCAGGAAAAGAGGCAGAGUGGAUUCAAGAUAUACUUAUGGAUAUCCGUCUGUGAGAUAUUCCAAUGCCUUCAAUACCCAUGUACUGUGACGGUGAGGCCACACCGUCUAAAGUAUAUAAUAUGGUAUAUAAUAGGAAGUCGAGACACAUAGGUCUGCGACAAAAUUUUGUGAGAUAGCUAAUUGAAAGUGGUAGCAUCAAAGUUGUCUAUGUCAAGACACGUAGGAACUUGGCAGAUCCGUUUACCAAACUUCUGUCGAGAGAUUUGGUUACAUCUACCACGAGAGUCAUGAGUCUAAAACCACAAUAGAAUCACUUAGUAAUGGAAACCCGACUUGGUAUUAAUGCUCUUAAUUCUAAAGUUUAAAGGGUAAGAAUGAAGCCACUAACGAUAGAAGGUACUAUCAUCAAUGAUAGAUACAUGUGAGGUAGGAUAGUACGUUGUUGCUGAGAAUGAGGUUGAGUUACAACUCUUAACAAAGUUUUGGAGACAUUUAAGAAACGAAGAUGUUAUAAAACUUCGCCUAUAUGAUCUAGAGGUGGUGUCGCCUCAAGUGAAGAUUAGUGGUUUAUCUUCUAAAGGGUCAUGAAAAGGAUUUAUAGCGCAUGACCAUAUUAGCGCUUAGGGAGAACGCAAAGACGACAUGUGAUGUGUAGGGGUAAACUGGAGAGGUUACAAGGUUCAUGCUUUAAACCUAUAAGGAUACCAUUGAAUUGGUCUUUUCUUGUUUGUUCUCAUUAAACUAAGGUUUAAUCUUCAUGACACCCAAGUGACAUCCUGUGUCUGAGUGAAAGGAAACUUUCCAACUUGGGGGGGGGGGGAUUGUUGGAAAUUAUGGAGGUAAUCUUACAAGUUGGCAUGUUUCCUCUAUCCCACAUUGGCGGGGGAAGAAACCUUCUGUAAGUUUAUAAGUCUUUUCCCUUGAUAGGCCUUCAAGGGCUUUAGUGGAUCAAAGAAAUGAGAAAAACCCACACACACACGCACGCCUAGCCUAGCCUAGCACUAGCCAAUGUCGCGAGUGCGCGAAAUGGUGCGAUUCAGGCGCACUUGGCACUUGGCACGACACAUCAGUUGCUGGGAUCUAAGGAACUUUUAUUUUUGGCGAAGUUCGAGUGAAGUUGGUUUUACCGAUCUGGUCAAAUGGUUGACUUCGUACAUAUGGAAACAUAAUAUUCUGGAAGGGUUAGAAAACGGCUAGCUUGGAGAGCAAGUCGUCUCCCUAGGGUUUCUAGGGGCCGGCCCAUGUGGGCCCCUUUCUGCCUUCUAGGAUUUCGAUGCCUAUAAAUAUAGCUCCCUAGGAGCCGUAUUUGAGAUUCACGAAUUUCAAAGCUCUCUCUCUCUCUCUCUGCGAUUUCUUUCGGUUUCUCAGUAUUUACUUUGCGUUUAUCAUUUUCCAUUGUUGUUCGAAGCUUGGUAAAUUUGCAUUAAAUCCUGAGGUUUUACUCUGUUGCUUACAACCGAUAGAAGCGAAGUAAAAACCUUUAAGGACAUGAGUCCGAUCCAUGCAGUUAUUCCACGUUCAAGAUCAGCUGUCAUCAGGUCAGUUUUAUAUUAUUGUCUUGUUUUUAAUUUCAUCAAAUAACAGGACACUCUCCUACUACCUUUCUUAUAAUCAGAGCUAAUCCAGAAAGAGUAAUCUGGUUUCUGGACGAAACUUGGUAAUCAUAUUAAUAAUAAUUGGAUCAAUUAUUUGCAACUAAUUGACAUAUAAUUCUCAAUAUUAUUUGUCGAUUUCCUUGUGUGUCUAUUGGUUUUGAUUUACAACAAGCAAGGCAAGCAGAAGAAGAUGUUGAAAGGUGAAUUCACAUCCUUUAAAUUGAUGAUAUCUCAAAAAAGGCUUGGAUUUACAUGUUACUUCUCUCUUCGUCUUUCUCAAACUUAUUCUAAAAGGUAAUAUUUUUCUACUUUUAAUCAUAGUAUAUAUAAUACUUAACUCAGUUAUAUAGGAUCUACCAAUUGAGUUUCUUAUGAAAACAGCCCACUAAACAAUUUGGAAGGUUAUUUUGAAAUUGCAAGAAUGAGACACAACUAUGUUCUUUCGUUUCAUCUUUGCUUCUUACUUGUCUUUUGAAUCAUUUACCUUAUUUUCACCAUUAAAACCAUAUUAAUAUCAUUAUUCACAGGUUAAACGAUGCAUUUUCUCUUACCUAAAGCUUGAAUUUGGACAACUUUGGUUUGUUGUAUCAGAAACAGAUGUAUGAUUUUUUCCACUCUUUUUAGUGACUUUGUUGUUGCUUUUGCAGAUUCUGAAUCUGAUAAAAAAUGACCUUCUGAAUUUACAUUUAAAGUGGUAAAACUUAUAAUAAUAUUACCUUAUGCAUUUCUAAAAGAGUAACAAAAUGAUAACAAGGUUAAGUUGAUAAGGUUAAUAUCAAUCUCUUAAAUUUUAUGGCAUUUUCACCACUUUGGUUGGACGAGAAUGAUUUGGUUUUGGAUUUUGGUAAUUUUCAAUCAACUUGCUUUUGGAUUUGCUUGGUGGGGGAAAUGGUGUCAUACAUUUUGUUGACUCUUUAGGUAGUCUCAAGAAAAUCAUUUAUUUUAUAUAUCACAAGCACUUGUGAAAUCCCUAUUUCUAGCAAAGUAUCUGAGAGAUAAAGGGAAUCAAAACCACGAAAAUCCCAAUUUUUUAAACCAAUAUCUCCGAAGAAAGUACAUUCACCUGUAGAUACAUAAGAGGUUGACAUCUCGAUAAAAAAUCAUAAAAAUUGUAUGUGGAUAUGGUUAAUCCAAAAAGAAAGAAAUGAUAAAUGAAACUACUAAAACUUGACAAAUAAGAUUUGGUUCAUUAAGGGCGUGUUUGACAAAAGUAGCUGUUAGCUGGAAGCGUGUAGCGGUUAGCUGGUAGCGGGUAGCUGGUAGCUGGUAGCUGGUAGCGGGAAGCUGUAGCUUUUAUUUGUUAUAUGAAUGUUUGGCAAAAGUAGCUGGAAGCUUUUGAAAUAUAUAAAAUUACAUAAAAGGACAAUUGAUUAAAAAUAAAAAUAUAUAUAAAUAUAUUUUUAAAGGUAAUUAUGGAAAUUGAUUUCAAAAGCUCCGGAGCGUUUUGUUAAAAGCUACAUGAAGUAGCUUUUAGAAUCGGAGCGUUUUGUUAAAACUAAAAGCUAAACGCUCGUACUGCCAAACGAAGCUUUUUGUUUAAAUUGGAGUGUUUUGUCAAAAACUAAAAGCUAGAAGCUCCCAAACGCUUCCAAAAGCUCCGUGCCAAACACACCCUAAGUCCUAUUAACUUUUAACAAUAAAUCAUCUUAUUUAAAAUUUUCAUUUUAUUUCCCUGCAUUUGUAACAAGUAAUUUUGAACUUUAGGCUUUGCUUGAAUGUCGCUUUUUAGUUGAUCACAGUCUUCGCUUUACUUAUGAAAAAUGUUCGAAUUUCUCAUCAUUUUGAUUCAUAUUUUUGUUGUUUUAUUGGUAACGUGUUUAUGUUUUGACCAAGUCCUAAUUUCUUAAAUCGUUAACUGUUGACAUAAAUUUGUGGAGUGUGCACUUGAACAUCUAUAUUCUUACCAAAUACCUUCAUCUGGAGCAUCUUCGACUUAUCGUGUUUGACAAAGUAUUGUCACUUAAAGCGUAUUGAUAUAUUACUUAUUUUUAUAUGUUAGUUUUCUUAUAUUUAUUUAUUAUCUAUUGUUUAAGAAAAAAAGCAUUUUACUAAAGCAUUUGAAUUUAAAAAAUCACUGCAUUUGUCUUAUCUAGGAAUUUUACUUUUGAAAAUCUAUCAAUUUUAACAUUGUACAUUCAUUUUUCUUAAUGUAAACAUUUUUUCUUUUAAAAGUCAACCGAUUUAUAACAUUGCAACUUUAUGUUUUGUUGCAAUUACAACUUGGUUUUUAAUUUUUUUUAUAAAAACAUAAGUCAACCGAUUUAUCUCAUUGUGGUUGGUUAAUUUCUAUGCGACAUUACUGUUGGUAUGGUCUCAUCCACCUUUAUUAUACUAUAAAACUUCUACUACUUCAGUAGUUGUAUUUUGGUAACAAAUGAUGCUUCAUUUUGAAAACAAGUCAUAUGUAAGAUUAGUGUUUCUCAUCAACCUAUCUUUGUUUGACACUUUCAUAUUAUAAAUGUUUUAUUAUUGCAUUUUAAAAAUAACUAUAUAUACAUAGAAUAAUUUCAAAAAUCUAAAUAUGUUCAAUACAUAUCGAUUGAAGGCAAACGGGCAACAAGCUGCGCCGCUAGCCCUUUUUGAAUGACAAAACAUAUUCUUUUGAAAACAACAUUUGUGGAUCUAGGAGAUAUGACAUUAGAAUGCAUGACCCGUUGGACUCUGUUAAGGAGCUCCACCGCCUCUGGUGCGAGAAAACCAAAUGUAUCGAAUGCAAAAGGAACAAACACAUGUUGAUUUUCUCUACAUGCAUUGUCGUGCUUUACCACUUUGCACGCAGCGGCUUUCAAAGCGGCAUGCCCAGCUGCGAAACCUCCGCUCCCCAAACCAACUAGAGGAGAUACACCAGUAAGAUCCACGCACGCAUGCUUCCCUCCUAUCCAUCCAAAGACCAAAAUGUCAGCCGGUCUAAGUGUGGACCUGCCAUCCUGCGGGUCCGUCAAAAAGUUCACUGACGCUUCUUUCUUCACAGAUAUACCAGCACGCCGACAAGCAUCAAAGAGAACAUCCCAAACCACAUCAUGUCUAUACUUGAAACCAGGGAGCUCUCUACAAUGAACCGCGUGUUCCCCAAAGGUAUCCAAACAUGUCUUGCGACAAACUGGACAUAUCUCGUCAAUUGGGAAUAUGAGAAUCAUGAGGCGGUAACGAAGGAUAGUUCGGUACUCCACAGGAGACAUAUGCUGGCCAAGACCAUCAAUAGGGAUAGUUAGCAGAAAAUGUUGAGCAUGAGGCGCCCACAGACACUCAAAGACUGCUUUAUGUCUGACAGUCAUCUCGAAGUUGACUUCCGGACGAUUUUGCUAAAAAGGGCACAUGCCAAAACUUUUUGGGAUUUAGGGGGGACGGUGUCCUUAUUAGUGAAACUGCUACAGUCAAAUCCCGGAAUCGUAUCACGGAGACGAUAUUGCAUUUUAGAUGCUUAAUCUUUCUAUUCUACUAGGAUGUUCAACAAUUAAUUCUAAAGGUGAGAAACUUUUUUGAAUUGAUCAUCUAAAUAAUGUUGUUCUCUUGAUUCGGCUAAAUAUUGAUCAUUAUGUUUUUUUGUUCCUAGAUUGUCUCUCGGAGCUCUAUGGACUUCUUUGAUGGGAUUUGGCAUCAAGUUGUUCAUUUUCCUAAUUAUGGUCUUAUUCAUCAGUAUGUUGUCUUAUAGUUCCUUACUCUUUUACAAAUUAACACUGUAUUACAUAGAAAUUGUUUUGGUUAUGCAAGAACUAUAUUAGAGCAGAAUAUUAUAAUUGAUUUUUUACAUGGUUUACUGUACUGUUGUACUCAUUAUUAUGAUUCCAAAAUUUUCAAAUUUCAAUCAAUUCUUUAUUGGUCAAAACUCAUUCAAACCCGCACCAACAACACGUGUGGUUUCUACUAGUUUAUAUUUAAGAUAAAACAGCAAAUAUGAUCCCGGUGGUAUGCAUUUUUACUGAGGUUUAGUCCAAACCUUGACUUUUUUGGUUUCAUGGUCCUUUUGAGGUAAUUUGUUUUUGGAAUUGGUCCAUAUUAAACUUGAAAAGACUAAUCUACCAUUUUAAUUUGUUUUUCUAUUUUCUUAAACAUUUUUUCUUUUUAUUUAAAUUUUUAGAAGUAAAAACAAAUAAAGAACCCCCCUCCCUCUCACACACACAAUCCACAAAAAAUUACCACCCACCACCAUCAUCUUCCUCCCUACCCUUCACCUAUAGUUCAUACUCCAAACCCUUCACUUGUUAUCACCAUCACAACCAUUUCUGAGGAUUAAAACAUACACACACAAAAUUAAAAGCACAUAAUCAACUUCAACGAGAUCUAUUUAGAAAAUUUGAGACUUUGAUCCUGAUUACGAAGAAUAGAAUUGGCAGAAGCAACUUCAAAAACACUCACCUUUUUGAGCUCCGGCCGACAGAUGACAAUCUUGAGGAAGCACACGAUGGCAUUCCGCUAUUGAGCAACAUUGGGGUUGUUAAUCUUGCAGAAAUCAAUAAAUAUUCAAGGUUGUUAAUUUUGCAGGAUUGAGCCUCCAACUAGUAAUUCACCAUUGUUGUUCCUUGUAACAAAUGAUAUGGGUUCAUGUGGUUGACUGGAAAACCAUAAAGAAGCAGAUGAUGAGUUUAGUCGAUGAACACACACACAUUUAUUUCGAGUAUGAACCCUAAUAUGUGCGAUUUCCGAUGAGAGAUGGUGAUCUACGAGCAACAACAAUGAGCAGAUAAUAAAUCUAUGCAUUUUCAAUUCAAAAUGUACUACCUUCUCUCUAUAAUUCUACUUGUAUUUUGUGUAUCCUUUUGAUCUCUAUGCAUGGAUUCUUAUGAUUGUUAUGAUAAAGACGAAAUUUGCAGGGGAAGAUCGGAGGUAAAGUCACCAGGGGGUGAUGAUCGAAGGUAGAGUUACAAGAUUUGUCUGUGUGUGUUCUAUGUCCGAAUUCACAAUCAAAUUUAUAGAGACAAAAUUGAUCUGAAUUUUUCUUUGGUUGAAAAAAUUGUUUUGUAUGUAGGUUUUAAAGUGAAUUCAAUGUAUGAGUUUUGAAUAUAAGUGUCAACCUUGCAAAAUUAUGGGACCAAUUUUGUUAAAUCCAUAAAUUUACUGUUCCUAAGCAUUACAUGCUUUAAUAUAUAUAUNNNNNNNNNNNNNNNNNNNNNNNNNNNNNNNNNNNNNNNNNNNNNNNNNNNNNNNNNNNNNNNNNNNNNNNNNNNNNNNNAUAUAUAUAUAGAGAGAGAGAGAGAGAGAGAGAGAGAGAGAGAGAUUUAAAAAUGUAGAUUAGUUUUUUCAAGUUUUACAACAACUAAUUUGACAAACAAAUUAUCUUAGAAAGACCAACAAAUCUCACAAAUAAAUUACCUUAAAAAAACCAACAAAUCUCACAAAUGAAUUACCUUAAAAAGACCAUAAAGUCAAAUAAAUCAAAAUUUAAACUAAACUUAAAAAAAAAUACAUACACAUGACAUUUUUAUAGUUUUUUCUACAUUUAAACAAAUAUAAAAGAUUUAUGUAGUAUUUUUUUUUUAACAUCAAAAAUCAAAAAGAUAUGAAAAGAAAUAUUUUGAAUUGGGCGCGUGGGCUAACAACAACAAGAAGGCAAGUACACAAACAACAACGUUGCCCGGUCAACACCAUCUGGACUUAAAAAAAAGCCGCCAAUAAGUUGACUAAAAAUAUCCAAUGUCAAGCUCAAUCGCAAUAGACAAAGUUAUGUACAAAUCCAUAAACGUAACACACAACCAAAUAAUGCUCUUCAAUCUAGACCACAAAAUCCAACAAUUUUAAAACCUCAUCAAGAAUUUCCCUAAAUUGUUCUUGUAUGUGUGUAAUUUUCUCACUGAAAUGGGAUUAGAUGCUAUCAAACCAUCACCGGUGCCGACCGGAGAAGAAAACACACCAAAUCAAUCCACCACCACCACCCCAACAAAACCCUCUACCACCAUCGUCCUCCUCUUCUCCGUCCUCCUCUUCUUCUCCUCUGUUACAUCCACCAAUCACCACCACAGCACCACCGCUCUCCAAAUCGCCCGGCCACUCAGUAAACUCACUCACCCAGUCGUCAUCCUCAUUUCCUCAGAUGGGUUCCGAUUUGGGUACCAAUUUAAAACCCCAACACCCAACAUCCAUCGACUGAUCAAAAACGGAAUCGAAGCUGAAACCGGAUUGAUUCCAGUCUACCCAACGUUAACCUUCCCAAAUCACUACUCAAUCGCCACCGGAUUAUACCCUGCUUAUCACGGAAUCAUAAACAACCAAUUCAUUGAUCCAAUCGCAGGUGAUACUUUCACAUUUACCAGCCAUGAACCCAAAUGGUGGCUAGGCGAACCCAUUUGGGAGACAAUCGCGAACCAAGGGCUCAAAGCGGCUACAUAUUUCUGGCCUGGAUCCGAGGUAAAAAAGGGUUCUUGGGAUUGUCCUGUGAAUUUCUGUGCACACUAUAACGAAUCAGUCCCAUUCGAAGAACGCGUUGAUACUAUCCUCCAUUAUUUCGAUUUACCAAAUGAAGAAAUUCCUGUUUUCAUGACAUUGUAUUUCGAGGACCCUGAUCAUCAAGGUCAUCAAUUUGGCCCUGAUGAUGCUCAUGUUACUAAAGCUGUUAGUAACAUCGAUGGGUUGGUUGGUCGAUUGAUUAACGGAUUGGAAAAACGUGGGGUUUUCGAAGAUGUUACCAUAAUCAUGGUAGGUGAUCAUGGAAUGGUUGCUACUUGUGAUAAAAAAUUAAUCUUUUUAGAUGAUUUAGCUUCUUGGAUCAAGAUUCCGAAAGAAUGGGUACAAGAUUAUGCUCCUGUGUUAUCUAUUCGUCCACCUUCUGAUCAAUCUCCUUCUGAAAUUGUCGCCAAAAUGAACCAAGGAUUGAGAUCGUUAAAAAAUGACGACAAAUUGAAAGUUUAUCUCAAAGAAGACCUUCCUUCGAGGCUGCAUUAUUGGGAAAGUGAUAGGAUCCCUCCGAUUAUUGGGUUAGUGGAUGAAGGGUAUAAUGUUGAGCAAAAGGUCUCGAAGAGUAAGGAAUGUAAUAAAUGUGGAGGUUUACAUGGAUAUGAUAAUGCAUUU